rnacentral:rRNA from 1 species
GCCUUAUAGUGGGGGAGUAGCCUUUCGAAAGGAAGAUUAAUACCGCAUAAGAUUGUAGUAUCGCAUGAUAUAGCAAUUAAAGGAGCAAUCCGCUAUAAGAUGGACCCGCGUCGCAUUAGCUAGUUGGUGAGGUAAUGGCUCACCAAGGCGACGAUGCGUAGCCGACCUGAGAGGGUGAACGGCCACAUUGGGACUGAGACACGGCCCAGACUCCUACGGGAGGCAGCAUG